rnacentral:lncRNA from 1 species
GUUGGUAGCUGUGAAUCACUAUCAACACAGUCCGCGUAGAUGAUCUGAUUAUGUUUUGAACAACCGCAGGUGUACGGGCCAGAAGCGACGAUGACAGGAAUCUGCAAACAAGCAAUUGAAUGCGUCAUGGCUGCAGCAUAGUCCGCAAUUGAAUGGGUAGUUUGGGAUCUGCAAACACGCAACUGAAUGUGUCAUGGGCUCAACAUAAAUGAGGGAUGGAGAGUGUAGUAGCAGUAGUUAACCACACAUGAUUGUUCUCUUUUUUCAGAUAUGUCGUUGUAGCGGGAGGAGCUGUUUGAAUGAAACUUUUAUAGGUCGUUACUGCAAAGAAAUUACUAUUGUGAGAUGGAAUAAUUAAAUUCGAGGUCUAGUUUAUGUGUGUGUUUUAUCAUGAACACUGAGUUGAAAUGGCCCUGUCAAGUGGAUUCCGUUGUAAUGUUCUUGUUGAUUGCUGCCACAUACACAGAUUAGUACAUUGAGCUUUUCGGGUGAUGCACAUUUUAAUAGAAUUAAUUUGUCACCAUGGUCAGAAGAACGCAAUGCAUCUCCCAUGUGGCAAGUGUUAGAAUAAUUGGCUGUUGAUCCAUUAUUUAAUUGAUCAAAUAAAUCCUAAGACCUAUUAGUGGUGGUAGUUACAAAUAGAAUAAAACCAACGCUGGCGGCACCUCCAGGAACCCGGCGACGGCGUCCCCGCUGCCAACACUGGGCGCACUCCCGGUGCAUCCUCUGACCGGCGGUGCAACUGAUGGCCAGGCCAUGCUCCAGGACGCGACUCCCCUGUCGCUUGGCAGCGGCGGUUUGGCGCCAACCACCAUGAACCCGGCGGCAACACCAGAUGCCACGUCCCCUGGCAUCGCCAGCCUCUUCGUCACGCCGCCGGGGCCGGUCCUCCACACGCCUACACAACCACAGCAGUGUUGGGAUCUAACCUCGGGAGCAGAUAGAUCACAACACGGUGAAGGGAUGAAGGUCACUUAUCCUCGGCAGUGAUGGCAC